GUGUAGGUGUGAGAGCACUCUGUGAUAAAAUGGUAUCCUGGCCAAGGUUGAUUCCACCUUAUGCUGAGCUGCUGGGAUAGGCUUCAGCCACCUGUGACCUCGAACUGGAAUAAUUGAGAUGGCCGAUACUAGGCAUGCAUGUGCAUACAGAAAAGAGAGUAACCCAAUAGUGAGGAAGAAAUUGAUGCUGCAGGAGAGAGGGAAUAAUUGCCGAAGCAAAGAUCUUGAGGUACUGAGAAAGGAUGACCCUAAUUUCCUUAAUGCUGCAGCCUGCUUCCACUGAGGGACUGGAGGCUCCUUGAGCAAAAUUAUCUACCUCUUCACCUUUGGAUCUUUCACAGUUCCCAGUUCGGUGUACUACAGAUUGUACUUGCUAAAUAAAAAAUCAUUGUCAUGGUUUACCUAAAUGCCUGAAGUGUUAAUAAUAAAAAAAAAACCCUUUAUUCCCUCCCAUACACUUUAUAAAUCUACAGGAUUAGAGAAACAGAAUCAUCUAGACAUUUCUGGUGGUAAUGGAAAAUUGUUCAACCACUCUGGAAAAUUGUUUGGCAUUUUCCUAUAAAACUAAACAUGAAAUUACCAUAUGACCCAGAAAUUGCAC
rnacentral:lncRNA from 10 species